AAAAAUGAAGCAAAUUUUGCAAUCAGUUUCGACCUGAACAUAGGUUCAUCCCAUUUUUA
rnacentral:tRNA from 1 species